UCCGAGUUGUCCCCGGCAGUCUUCUUAGAGUCCCCGGCAUUACCCGCUGGCGACUAAGAACAGGGGUUGCGCUCGUUGCGGCACUUAAGCCAACACCUCACGGCACGAGCUGACGACAGCCAUGCAGCACCUGUGCACGCUCCUCUUGCGAGGUCGUCACCCUUUCAGGCUCCUACUACGUGCAUGUCAAGGCCAGGUAAGGUUCUUCGCGUUGCAUCGAAUUAAGCCACAUACUCCACCGCUUGUGCAGGCCCCCGUCAAUUUCUUUGAGUUUUAAUCUUGCGACCGUACUCCCCAGGCGGCACGUUUAUCGCGUUAGCUUCGCCACAAAAGGGGUCGAUUCCCCUUACAGCAAACGUGCACCGUUUACAGCUAGGACUAC
rnacentral:misc_RNA from 1 species